rnacentral:rRNA from 1 species
GAUGAACGCUAGCGGCAGGCCUAACACAUGCAAGUCGAGGGGCAGCACAUAAAGUGGUUUACUACUUUUGGUGGCGACCGGCGGACGGGUGCGUAACGCGUAUGCAACCUGCCUCCAACAGGGGGAUAACGGAGAGAAAUUUCCACUAAUACCCCAUAAUAUCAGAAUCGGCAUCGGUUUUGGUUGAAAACUCCGGUGGUUGGAGAUGGGCAUGCGUUGUAUUAGAUAGUUGGUGAGGUAACGGCUCACCAAGUCAACGAUACAUAGGGGGACUGAGAGGUUAGCCCCCCACACUGGUACUGAGACACGGACCAGACUCCUACGGGAGGCAGCAGUGAGGAAUAUUGGUCAAUGGGGGCAACCUUGAACCAGCUAUGCCGCGUGCAGGAAGACGGCUCUAUGAGCUGUAAACUGCUUUUACAAGGGGAUAAAUCGGUGUACGUGUACACCGUUGAAGGUACCUUGGGAAUAAGGAUCGGCUAACUCCGUGCCAGCCGCCGCCGUAA